rnacentral:rRNA from 1 species
UACGUAGGGGGCAAGCGUUGUCCGGAAUCAUUGGGCGUAAAGAGCGUGUAGGCGGCUCGGUAAGUCCGCUGUGAAAGUCCAGGGCUCAACCCUGGAAUGCCGGUGGAAACUGUCGAGCUAGAGUCCGGAAGAGGCGAGUGGAAUUCCUGGUGUAGCGGUGAAAUGCGCAGAUAUCAGGAGGAACACCAAUGGCGAAGGCAGCUCGCUGGGACGGUACUGACGCUGAGAUGCGAAAGCGUGGGGAGCAAACAGG